rnacentral:rRNA from 1 species
GACGGAGGAUGCAAGCGUUAUCCGGAAUGAUUGGGCGUAAAGCGUCUGCAGGUGGCAGUUCAAGUCUGCUGUCAAAGACCGGGGCUUAACUUCGGAAAGGCAGUGGAAACUGAACAGCUAGAGUAUGGUAGGGGCAGAGGGAAUUCCUGGUGUAGCGGUGAAAUGCGUAGAGAUCAGGAGGAACACCGGUGGCGAAGGCGGAUCUCUGGGCCUUGCCUGACGCUGAGGCGCGAAAGCUAGGGGAGCGAACAGG